rnacentral:piRNA from 1 species
UGUAAAUCAAAUGUGUCGUUU